AUCGAUGGGUCCUCUUGGAGUAUGAUCGUUAAAAAGGAUGUGCAUUCUUAGAUAAUUUUUGUUGUCCAAUGUUAUGAGAAGAAGGCUUCAUAGGGAGUUUGGACGGAUAUUUUUGGGUUCUCUUUCAUCACUCUGUCAGCCUCAUUGAAUGUAGAAAUAUUCAGCAUUCUUAAAGGACAAAAUCAACUAUAAAUAUCCCCUUUACAAAGUUCUUUGGUAUU
rnacentral:lncRNA from 1 species